UACGGAGGGUGCGAGCGUUGUCCGGAAUCAUUGGGCGUAAAGGGCGCGUAGGUGGCGGGACAAGCGUGCGGUGAAAGCUCGGGGCUCAACCCCGCGUCGGCCGUGCGAACUGUUUUGCUUGAGCACUGUAGAGGCAGGCGGAAUUCCGGGUGUAGCGGUGGAAUGCGUAGAGAUCCGGAAGAACACCGGUGGCGAAGGCGGCCUGCUGGGCAGAGCUGACACUGAGGCGCGACAGCG
rnacentral:rRNA from 1 species